rnacentral:rRNA from 1 species
AUUGAACGCUGGCGGCGUGCCUAAUACAUGCAAGUCGAACGGAGUGCCGCACGGGUGAGUAAUAUAUAUCUAAUCUGCCCCUUUCUGGAGGGCAACAGUUAGAAAUGACUGCUAAUACUCCAUAGCAAGGGAUGAGUCUAUAUCGUAUCAGCUAGUCGGUGGGGUAACGACCUACCGAGGCUAUGACGCGUCACUGGUCUGAGAGGAUGAUCAGUCACCUUGGAACGGAGACACGGUCCAAACUCCUACGGCAGUCGGCGUUAGGGAAUAUUGCGCAAGGGGGGUAACUCUGGAGCGGCUACGCCGUGUGGAGUAUGACACUUUGCGGAGCGUAAACUCCUUUUGUUAGGGAAGCGUUACCUACAGAAUAAGCACCGGCUAACUCCGUGCCAGCCGCCGCGGUAAUUC